ACACCCAAGAGGGCGACAUAAGACCUGCUAACUCUUUAUUAUGGAAUUUGACCCCAGCCC
rnacentral:tRNA from 1 species